rnacentral:lncRNA from 1 species
UGGCACCACAGGUUAUUCCCGUUUUAUUUUUUGCAUGAACGUGAGCCAUCCCUGCCUCUUGACACACUGCUUCCCACUGUUUCACCUCACCUG